rnacentral:rRNA from 1 species
UACGUAGGGUGCAAGCGUUAAUCGGAAUUACUGGGCGUAAAGCGUGCGCAGGCGGUGAUGUAAGACAGUUGUGAAAUCCCCGGGCUUAACCUGGGAACUGCAUCUGUGACUGCAUCGCUGGAGUGCGGCAGAGGGGGAUGGAAUUCCGCGUGUAGCAGUGAAAUGCGUAGAUAUGCGGAGGAACACCGAUGGCGAAGGCAAUCCCCUGGGCCUGCACUGACGCUCAUGCACGAAAGCGUGGGGAGCAAACAGG